rnacentral:tRNA from 1 species
GGCCCGUUGGUCAAGUGGUUAAGACACCGCCCUUUCACGGCGGUAACACGGGUUCGAAUCCCGUACGGGUCAU